GUGGGGAAUAUUGGACAAUGGGCGAAAGCCUGAUCCAGCCAUGCCGCGUGUGUGAAGAAGGUCUUCGGAUUGUAAAGCACUUUAAGUUGGGAGGAAGGGCAGUAAGUUAAUACCUUGCUGUUUUGACGUUACCGACAGAAUAAGCACCGGCUAACUUCGUGCCAGCAGCCGCGGUAAUACGCAGGGUUCAAGCGUUAAUCGGACUUACUGGGCGUAAAGCGCGCGUAGGUGGUUUUGUAAGUUGGAGGUGAAAUCCCCGGGCUCAACCUGGGAACUGCCUCAAAAACUGCAUGACUAGAGUACGGUAGAGGGUAGUGGAAUUUCCUGUGUAGCGGUGAAAUGCGUAGAUAUAGGAAGGAACACCAGUGGCGAAGGCGACUACCUGGACUGAUACUGACACUGAUGUGCGAAAGCGUGGGGAGCAAACAGGAUUAGAUACCCUAGUAGUCC
rnacentral:rRNA from 1 species